AGAACGAACGCUGGCGGCGCGCUUAACACAUGCAAGUCGAGCGCUUCUGGGGCAACUCAGAGGAGCGGCGGACGGGUGCGUAACACGUGGGUAAUCUGCCCUCGAGAUCGGGAUAACUCGCCGAAAGGCGAGCUAAUACCGGAUAAGCCCCCAGGUUCCUAGGGACCCGAGGGAAAAGGCAGCAAUGCGCUUGAGGAUGAGCCCGCGGCCCAUCAGCUAGUUGGCGGGGUAACGGCCCACCAAGGCAACGACGGGUAUCUGGUCUGAGAGGACGGCCAGACACACUGGAACUGAGACACGGUCCAGACUCCUACGGGAGGCAGCAGUGGGGAAUCUUGCGCAAUGGAGGAAACUCUGACGCAGCGACGCCGCGUGUGCGAUGAAGGUCUUCGGAUCGUAAAGCACUGUCGCGAGGGAAAAAUAAUUGAUGGUACCUCGAGAGGAAGCACCGGCUAACUCUGUGCCAGCAGCCGC
rnacentral:rRNA from 1 species